CCCACACAAAUACACCAAGAGCAGUUUAUGCAAUAUUCAGCCGUUAAUUAAAAUCGUUCAAUCAAGUUAUAAUCGAUCCUUUUACGCUGAUUUUUUAGCAGAAGAAGUUUGAAAUGGACAGAAUAAGAGAUUUGGCUUCAAAAAAGGCAGCAGUGAUUUUCACCAAGAGUUCAUGUUGCAUGUGUUACAGUAUAAAGCAACUGUUCUAUCAAUUAGGUGCAAGUCCUGCUGUACAUGAACUUGAUAAAGAAGCAAGGGGGAGAGAAAUGGAGUUAGCCUUGAAAAGCUUAGGCUGCCGCCCUACCGUGCCCGCCGUGUUCAUAGGCGGCGUAUAUAUCGGCUCUGCCACGGAUGUCAUCUCUUUCCAUGUUGAUGGAUCUCUAAAGCAAAUGCUCAUUAAUGCCAAAGCUAUAUGGUUCUAGCUAGUUAUCUCUUGCUAAUAGCUCGUUAAUCACCUUGUAAAUUGUGAUUAAUGGCUUCCUAAUUUUGUCGAUUCCGGUGAACUUUUCUUUCCCUUUUUUCUUCUGUCAAGUCGUGUAAAUCUGGGCAUGCUCUUUGGACUAUGGACAGCAAGGCCAGAUUCUCUGUGCUCGCGGCAUGCACACGGGUCCACACAGACCAUUUAAACCUUUUAACUUUAUCUUGUAUCUUUGUCUCAACGCAAGUCAUGCCUCACUUUUUGUAUACGGGUCGGCCUAGUAAAAAAAUACGAGUCAUGCUGGCCCGUAGGCGACUUGAAGUGGAUCGACUGAAAAGGGUCUGAGUUGAAUCACUUUACACUUUGUUGUGAUGAGAAAUAUUGAUUUGGUGAAAUGGCUAGAGGACUUUUUUAUGAGAUUAAUUUUCCAACGGUAAUUGGCAUAAAAAGUUCCUACCUUUCAUGAUGAUUGUGAAA
rnacentral:lncRNA from 1 species